rnacentral:rRNA from 1 species
GUUCACAGCCCAACCCCUGUGCACGGCUGCUCUCAUCUGAUCUCUGAUGCGACGCAGGGUUGGACCUGGUUAGCACUGGAUAGGGGACCACCCGGGAAUGUCAGGUGCUGGGCU